UGAGACGAUAACACAAACACUCGUAUAUUUUCAGGAAUAUGGCUUGAAAGUUUCUACCUGCUACCGUUAUUAGCAGACUAUGAGGUGUAAUAUUGUAAAA
rfam:Clostridium butyricum E4 str. BoNT E BL5262 CLP.Contig65, whole genome shotgun sequence.